UGGCGGCGCGCCUAACACAUGCAAGUCGAACGGAGCUUAGAGAGCUUGCUUUUUAAGCUUAGUGGCGAACGGGUGAGUAACGCGUGAGUAACCUGCCCUAGAGUGGGGGACAACAGUUGGAAACGACUGCUAAUACCGCAUAAGCCCACGGUACCGCAUGGUACUGAGGGAAAAGGAUUUAUUCGCUUUAGGAUGGACUCGCGUCCAAUUAGCUAGUUGGUGAGGUAAUGGCCCACCAAGGCGACGAUUGGUAGCCGGACUGAGAGGUUGAACGGCCACAUUGGGACUGAGACACGGCCCAGACUCCUACGGGAGGCAGCAGUGGGGGAUAUUGCACAAUGGGGGAAACCCUGAUGCAGCGACGCCGCGUGGAGGAAGAAGGUUUUCGGAUUGUAAACUCCUGUCGUUAGGGACGAUAAUGACGGUACCUAACAAGAAAGCACCGGCUAACUACGUG
rnacentral:rRNA from 1 species